GCAAAUUGUGCCUGUGUCGAGCUUGCUUUAGAGUACGGGCUGCAGAGACGUCGAGGACCUCAAGGUCACCGAUGUUGUGGAGCUGGACGAGGUUUCCGGGCAGUUCAUCGACCGCCUGUUCUUCCUGGAGAAGGUCUAGAGAUGAUUUACUCUGCCAGGCGGUAGCACUCGAAGCACACAGGCUGAACCUCAACAACAACCCCUACUUUUCUGGGCCCUAAUG